rnacentral:lncRNA from 1 species
AUGGAGUAUAAAAAAACUAAAAGAGUGGGUCAAUACGUGUAUAAAGGUAGUAGACAUGAAAAUAAGAGACAAAAAAUGAAUGUUAACGCAGAAUGUAAAGGAUUAUUAAUAUCGCCAGUGUCUUACAGAAAAACCAGUAGUAGUAUAAAAGAAAUUAUAAAUUAUUUAAAUAAACAUUAUCCUUUAAAUAAAGAUAAAAUUUGUAUAAAUGGUGAUAGUAAACAUAACAAUGAAAAUGAGAAUGACAAAACUAACGGUAUAAGUAACGAAAAAACAAUUGACAUAAAUAAAAGUGUAGAAAAUAAUGAUGAAGAUGAAGAGAAAUUUAGUAAAAUGGAACAACAACUGAAUGAAGAGAUUAAAGAAGCUAAAUUAGAUUAUGAUCGAUUUGUACCUCUUAAAAAUAUCGUAAAACAUUUUACUCUUAUAAAAUUUAAUAAUGCAGAAGAAAAAACACCAUCAGAUAUUGUUCAUGACAUAUUUUCAGAAGCACAAACUAAAAAAGAAAAGUUUUUUUUCAGGAAUAUAUGCAAAUUAAUGCCACUUGAUAAUAUUUGUAAACCACAUAUUACCAAUUUAAUAAAAAUAUUAUUACCAUUAUUAAAGGAUAAUUUUACCAAAAGUAUAUGUGUCGAGCAAAAUUUCACUUAUACUAUUUUAUUAAAUAUGUUAGGACUAACUGAGCAGUUGGUAAAAGAAAAUGAAGAAAAUGAAGAAAAUGAAGAAAAUGAAGAAAAUGAAGAAAAAGAAGAAAAGGAAGAAAAAGAAGAAAAGGAAGAAAAGGAAGAAAAGGAAGAAAAAGAAGAAAAAGAAGAAAAUGAAAAAAAGGAAGAAAAGGAAGAAAAAGAAAAAAAUGAAGAAAAAGAAAAAAAUGAAGAAAAAGAAAAAAAGGAAGCUCAGUUAAAUGGGACAAACACGUUAAAAGAAAAUGAAAUUGAGAAAGAGAAGGAGGACGAGAAAAAGGAUGAGAACGUAGAAGUUGAAACACAAGAUGGUCAUACAAAAGAGAAUGGGAAGUGUGAGGAAGUGGUUAAAAAGGCUUCUGAAGUAGCAACAGUAACCAAAGUAGCAGAGGCAGAUAAAGCAGUUGAAGUACCCGAAAAAAAAAAAACCUAUGCGUUAAUAUAUAAAUGUACACGCAAUAAUACAUUAUCUAAAUCAAUAGUAAUAAAAGUGUUGGAUAAAUGUAUUGGAAAUAACUAUAAAGUAAAUUUGACUAAACCUGAUUUAGCAAUAUUUGUUUAUGUAACUGAGAUUAUGUGUGGAGUAAGUAUAGUUAAAGAUUAUGGUGACAUGAAAAAAUUCAACAUUUCUGCUUUUAAUAUCAAUUACAAUAACGAGGAUCAUUAGUUUUAAUUUUAUAAUUAAUAAACAGCACUUCUGUGCGAGUACUUUUUUGGGG